AGAGUUUGAUCAUGGCUCAGGACGAACGCUGGCGGCAUGCCUAAUACAUGCAAGUCGAACGAUGAAUCUCUCUGCUUGCAGAGAGAGGAAGAGUGGCGAACGGGUGAGUAACACGUGAGGAACUUGCCCAUAAGUGGGGGAUAACAUCCGGAAACGGGUGCUAAUACCGCAUACGUAACAUAGUCGCAUGAUUGUGUUAUAAAAGGUGGCUUUGCUACCGCUUAUGGAUAGCCUCGCGGCGCAUUAGCUAGUUGGUGGGGUAAAGGCCUACCAAGGCGAUGAUGCGUAGCCGACUUGAGAGGGUGAUCGGCCACACUGGGACUGAGACACGGCCCGGACUCCUACGGGAGGCAGCAGUAGGGAAUCUUCCACAAUGGGUGCAAGCCUGAUGGAGCAAUGCCGCGUGAGUGAAGAAGGACUUCGGUUCGUAAAGCUCUGUUGUUAGAGAAGAACAAGGAUAGGAGUAACUGUCUAUUCCUUGACGGUACCUAACCAGAAAGUCACGGCUAACUACGUGCCAGCAGCCGCGGUAAUACGUAGGUGACAAGCGUUGUCCGGAUUUAUUGGGCGUAAAGCGAGCGCAGGCGGUUCCUUAAGUCUGAUGUGAAAGCCCACGGCUUAACCGUGGAAUGGCAUUGGAAACUGGGGAGCUUGAAUAUAGAAGAGGAAAGUGGAAUUCCAGUGUAGCGGUGGAAUGCGUA
rnacentral:rRNA from 1 species